rnacentral:misc_RNA from 1 species
AUGAAGAACGUAGCGAAAUGCGAUAAGUAGUGUGAAUUGCAGAAUUCAGUGAAUCAUCGAAUCUUUGAACGCACAUUGCGGCCAUAGGUAUUCCUUUGGCCAUGCCUGUUCGAGCGUCAUUUACACCCUCAAGCCUAGCUUGGUGUUGGGCGUCUGUCCCGCCGUUCUCGCGCGCGGACUCGCCUCAAAGUCAUUGGCGGCGGUCGUGCCGGCCCCCUCGCGCAGCACAUUUGCGCUUCUCGGAGGCCCGGCGGAUCCGCGCUCCAGCAAGACCUUUCACGACUUGACCUCGGAUCAGGUAGGGAUACCCGCUGAACUUAAGCAUAUCAAUAAGCGGAGGA